UCAGAUGUGGUGUAGUGGGAACACGGCCUCUAGAGCUGGCGUAAAGCAUAUUGCUGGCACUUUCAGAGGCAGCCUAGGGUUCGAGUCCCUGCGUCUGGC